GUUGUAAGAUGGGGAAAAGAUGAGAAAGCGGUUAUAGGCGUUUCAGACAAAAAAAAAAAGAAACAAGAGCUAAAGAAGGAGAAUCACGAUAAGUUACAAAGAGAUUUACAAAGAGAUUUACGGCAAAGAUCAAAUUGAUGUGCUCUCCUCUGAACUCUGAUGGUAUCAUGGUAAAAAUAUUUGAUUCAAAAGCACUAAAAUUAUAGCGUUUUGUUUUCUUUUGUCUCUAAACAUGAUAUAAAUAUCUGAUUUGUUCGACGUGAUUUUGUGCACUUAACAUCUGAUUUUUUCGACGUGAUUUUGUGCACUUAUGAUCCAGAGAUAGACAUAAGGCUUGCUAACAAGGUCUUGAAUGGGGAAGGAAAACCCUCGAAAAACUGAAGGUUUCCGUUGGAUCUCUUGCAUUCUCUGAACCAUUUGGUUGUUGUAAGGGAACUUAUUGUUCCUCUGUGCGUUUUCUUCUUCCAAAGGGUUUUGUUUUUGUUAUCAUAUAUUUUCACUUUCAAUAUUGUUAUCAUUUUUGAGUUUUAACAGGGUAAGUAUGAUAAUAUGAAACUGAGGAGACUUCAUGAUAAAACCCACCGCGAGGAACAUAGAAAUCAGACAUGGAAAAAUCAAAGAAAGGACAUUUGAUAAAAAGUAAAACUGCUUCCCUUAAUUCAUCACAUCUAGGAUCAGACUGUUGCAAUAUAUAUCAGGAUCGCGUUGCAGUGGUUAUCAUCUUUUAUUGUUCCUGCUCAUGUUUUUUUUUCUGGCCUUUUUUCUUUACAGGUAGAUAUUUCCAUUUGAAAACUAUAUACUUUUAAUUAGUAAACUCUAAGUAUGCUUCAAGAUUUUCAUGUCUUUUUAGUUUCUAUUCUCGAGCGUUUAACCUUUUACUAACGAUCUUUUGUUGAUUUUAGUGGCAGCUUCACUAUGUUUCUGGAGGUAAGCACAGUUCAUCAUCAUUCUAAUGUAUUUUGUCCAUUUUUCCACGUCUCUAAAAGACCUAAAACUAAAUCUCACUGAACCAACCUCAUAUCUUAACCUUUUUGGAGUUCUGUGUGAUCAUGAUUUUGUGGUUUCUUUCUAACAGGUUAGCACAUUGGGGUACUUUGCAUCACAUUACCGUGUUAUGAGGUAUGUGAUAUUUUUCUUUGUUCAAUACUCUGUAAUCUGCGGGAGUGGUUUCACUAAUUCACCAACAACAAAAUGCAGGAGGAAGCUUCAUGGACCGGAAGGAAGCGAUGACGAGGUUUAUGACUUGGUAACUGCUUUGAUUUUUAGGGGGUUUCAGAGGCUUACAGAAGAAACCGGUAAGGAAGGAAAUUUUAAAGUAGAAGUAUGUUUAUCAAAUGAUUUCAUUGGUUUGGAUUUCAUUAACUAUCUAUAGUGUAUAGUCCCGGGAAUAAACUACACAUUCUUUUGUGGGUUUGGUGAAAUGUGAAAAUUAUGAGUGGAGCUCAAGUUUCUGCCGUACGAUGCUCUCUUUUCUAUACUUUUGUACUUCUUCUAUGUAUCAACAUGCACUUAGAAUUUGCGUGUUUCAUGGAUUUAUGCCAGAUGAUGUUUCUCGGUAACUCAAUUUUUCUGACCACUAUUCAGCUUUUGGCUUAAUUGAUAUGGUACGUACUCUCACAUAGUAAUUUGUGCUUCCUCUGAGCUAUAAACCAUACAAGAGUAUGUUGCCAGCAAUCCAGUGUAUGUGGAAGUUUUCAACAGAGUGAUUCCAUUGGCUUACAACAUCAUAAAGAGGAAUAAAGUCGGAGAAACUAACACUUACUUGGAUGGAACCUACUAUUGUUUCACUUAACCAAACUUGAAUCCAUUACUCCAGUAUAGACUGCUCUACUUCCCAUAACGACGUUAUCCGAUUUUAUUCCUUAAAGAUAUAGAAGUACAACUGAAAAGAUGAUGAACAUUGCAUGUGUGUAUGUGACCACAUUUAGGAUUCUAGAUGUUCCUUCCGAAUUAAAGUAAAUCUAUCUUUAUGUAUGUGUCGUUGUAUCAUUUUUUGAAUAGUGCUAUGUUUUCUUUAUCUA